GUUGGCGAUGACAUUUACCGUCUGGCGAGGGAGCAGCCGUGGGUGGUGGCAGCAACUCAUCGAGCGGCGUGGAGGAGGGAGCCGCCAGGGUGGACCACGCCUACAGCCUGCACGUCACCGCCCGCCAUGCACUAAGGGCUGUGGGCGUGCAUGACCGCCAACCAAAGACUCAGCCCAGAGGAAGAGCCAGGCCAGCACCACCACAGGGACAGAGGACGAUGAGGAGAGUGUUCCAACGCUGCUCCAACUCAAGGUUCAUAGGCCACACCCUGAGCCCUGCCAAGAUGUCCUGCCAGGUGGUCGGCCUCCACCCCUACACCUCCCACUGGUUCCUCCUGCUGCCCCACUACAAGGAUGUGCCAAGUAUGCCCUCCAGCCUGCAGUCCUUGGAUGAUUGCAAGUAGCGUAAGUUAACAAAAGAGUAAAGCAACAGUUAAUGUCCGCAUGACAGAUGGAGUGAGGUGUGGGUGCAGUAAGGUGACAGGUUACUGGUGCGUGCCUAGUACCGCCGGUAAAACGAGGAUCAAGCCUCCACCUCACCCAUCACCCUCCGCGUGCCGUGGAUUAAGGCCAACCUUAACGUGUGCAUAUCUGGUGAGCUCUGGGACCACCCUGCCCUCCCUCACCCACAGGGAUGAGCUUAUCAAGGAGUGGGCG